ensembl:snRNA U6 U6 spliceosomal RNA
GUGUACUCAUUCAGCACAUACCAAAAUCGGAACAAUAUAGAGAUUAGCAUGGCCCCUGUGAAACAAUGAUACGCAAAUUCAUGGAGCAUUCUAUACUUUC